AGCAGCAUGGCGCAGUGGUAGCGCGCGGGGCUCAUAAAUGCAACCCUGAGGUCACUUGAUCGAAACAAGUUGCUGCUA